rnacentral:misc_RNA from 1 species
GAAAUCCGCCCAGUUUGCAAGAAGUUUAUGCAAGAUCCAAUGGAAAUAUAUGUAGACGACGAGGCAAAGCUGACAUUGCAUGGUCUUGUCCAGCACUACAUCAAAUUGAGCGAGAUGGAGAAAAAUCGGAAGUUGAACGACCUCCUUGAUGCGUUGGACUUCAAUCAAGUGGUUAUUUUUGUUAAAAGUGUUAAUCGGGCAGCUGAGCUGGAUAAGUUGUUGGUGGAGUGUAAUUUUCCCUCCAUAUGCAUCCACUCUGGCAUGUCUCAGGAAGAGAGGUUGACUCGAUACAAGGGUUUUAAGGAAGGACAUAAGCGGAUUCUCGUGGCUACAGAUUUGGUUGGUCG